rnacentral:rRNA from 1 species
GGGUUGUGAGGUUAAGCGACUAAGCGUACACGGUGGAUGCCCUGGCAGUCAGAGGCGAUGAAGGGCGUGCUAAUCUGCGAUAAGCGCCGGUAAGGUGAUAUGAACCGUUAUAACCGGCGAUACCCGAAUGGGGAAACCCAGUGUGACUCGUCACACUAUCAUUAACUGAAUCCAUAGGUUAAUGAGGCGAACCGGGGGAACUGAAACAUCUAAGUACCCCGAGGAAAAGAAAUCAACCGAGAUUCCCUCAGUAGCGGCGAGCGAACGGGGAGGAGCCCAGAGCCUGAAUCAGCAUGUGUGUUAGUGGAAGCGUCUGGAAAGGCGCGCGAUACAGGGUGACAGCCCCGUACACAAAAGCGCAUGUGCUGUGAGCUCGAUGAGUAGGGCGGGACACGUGGUAUCCUGUCUGAAUAUGGGGGGACCAUCCUCCAAGGCUAAAUACUCCUGACUGACCGAUAGUGAACCAGUACCGUGAGGGAAAGGCGAAAAGAACCCCGGCGAGGGGAGUGAAAAAGAACCUGAAACCGUGUACGUACAAGCAGUGGGAGCCCCACCACUAAGCCAGUGGUGAACUCUACAUACGCAUCCUUUGCUGAGGAUACGGUUAACGGAGCGAAAGCGACGUUCAACCGCAAAAGAAGCAGAGGGGGCUUAGUGGUGGGGUGACUGCGUACCUUUUGUAUAAUGGGUCAGCGACUUAUAUUCUGUAGCAAGGUUAACCGAAUAGGGGAGCCGGAGGGAAACCGAGUCUUAACCGGGCGUUAAGUUGCAGGGUAUAGACCCGAAACCCGGUGAUCUAGCCAUGGGCAGGUUGAAGGUUGGGUAACACUAACUGGAGGACCGAACCGACUAAUGUUGAAAAAUUAGCGGAUGACCUGUGGCUGGGGGUGAAAGGCCAAUCAAACCGGGAGAUAGCUGGUUCUCCCCGAAAGCUAUUUAGGUAGCGCCUCGUGAAUUCAUCUCCGGGGGUAGAGCACUGUUUCGGCUAGGGGGCCAUCCCGGCUUACCAACCCGAUGCAAACUGCGAAUACCGGAGAAUGUUAUCACGGGAGACACACGGCGGGUGCUAACGUCCGUCGUGAAGAGGGAAACAACCCAGACCGCCAGCUAAGGUCCCAAAGUCAUGGUUAAGUGGGAAACGAUGUGGGAAGGCCCAGACAGCCAGGAUGUUGGCUUAGAAGCAGCCAUCAUUUAAAGAAAGCGUAAUAGCUCACUGGUCGAGUCGGCCUGCGCGGAAGAUGUAACGGGGCUAAACCAUGCACCGAAGCUGCGGCAGCGACACUGUGUGUUGUUGGGUAGGGGAGCGUUCUGUAAGCCUGUGAAGGUGGCCUGUGAGGGUUGCUGGAGGUAUCAGAAGUGCGAAUGCUGACAUAAGUAACGAUAAAGCGGGUGAAAAGCCCGCUCGCCGGAAGACCAAGGGUUCCUGUCCAACGUUAAUCGGGGCAGGGUGAGUCGACCCCUAAGGCGAGGCCGAAAGGCGUAGUCGAUGGGAAACGGGUUAAUAUUCCCGUACUUGGUGUUACUGCGAAGGGGGGACGGAGAAGGCUAUGUUGGCCGGGCGACGGUUGUCCCGGUUUAAGCGUGUAGGUGUGUGUUCCAGGUAAAUCCGGUUCACUUUAACACUGAGGCGUGACGACGAGGCACUACGGUGCUGAAGCAACAAAUGCCCUGCUUCCAGGAAAAGCCUCUAAGCAUCAGGUAACAUCAAAUCGUACCCCAAACCGACACAGGUGGUCAGGUAGAGAAUACCAAGGCGCUUGAGAGAACUCGGGUGAAGGAACUAGGCAAAAUGGUGCCGUAACUUCGGGAGAAGGCACGCUGACACGUAGGUGAAGUGAUUUACUCAUGGAGCUGAAGUCAGUCGAAGAUACCAGCUGGCUGCAACUGUUUAUUAAAAACACAGCACUGUGCAAACACGAAAGUGGACGUAUACGGUGUGACGCCUGCCCGGUGCCGGAAGGUUAAUUGAUGGGGUCAGCGCAAGCGAAGCUCCUGAUCGAAGCCCCGGUAAACGGCGGCCGUAACUAUAACGGUCCUAAGGUAGCGAAAUUCCUUGUCGGGUAAGUUCCGACCUGCACGAAUGGCGUAAUGAUGGCCAGGCUGUCUCCACCCGAGACUCAGUGAAAUUGAACUCGCUGUGAAGAUGCAGUGUACCCGCGGCAAGACGGAAAGACCCCGUGAACCUUUACUAUAGCUUGACACUGAACAUUGAGCCUUGAUGUGUAGGAUAGGUGGGAGGCUUUGAAGCGUGGACGCCAGUCUGCGUGGAGCCGACCUUGAAAUACCACCCUUUAAUGUUUGAUGUUCUAACGUGGACCCGUUACCCGGGUUGCGGACAGUGUCUGGUGGGUAGUUUGACUGGGGCGGUCUCCUCCUAAAGAGUAACGGAGGAGCACGAAGGUUGGCUAAUCCUGGUCGGACAUCAGGAGGUUAGUGCAAUGGCAUAAGCCAGCUUGACUGCGAGCGUGACGGCGCGAGCAGGUGCGAAAGCAGGUCAUAGUGAUCCGGUGGUUCUGAAUGGAAGGGCCAUCGCUCAACGGAUAAAAGGUACUCCGGGGAUAACAGGCUGAUACCGCCCAAGAGUUCAUAUCGACGGCGGUGUUUGGCACCUCGAUGUCGGCUCAUCACAUCCUGGGGCUGAAGUAGGUCCCAAGGGUAUGGCUGUUCGCCAUUUAAAGUGGUACGCGAGCUGGGUUUAGAACGUCGUGAGACAGUUCGGUCCCUAUCUGCCGUGGGCGCUGGAGAACUGAGGGGGGCUGCUCCUAGUACGAGAGGACCGGAGUGGACGCAUCACUGGUGUUCGGGUUGUCAUGCCAAUGGCACUGCCCGGUAGCUAAAUGCGGAAGAGAUAAGUGCUGAAAGCAUCUAAGCACGAAACUUGCCCCGAGAUGAGUUCUCCCUGAGACUUAGAGUCUCCUGAAGGAACGUUGAAGACGACGACGUUGAUAGGCCGGGUGUGUAAGCGCAGCGAUGCGUUGAGCUAACCGGUACUAAUGAACCGUGAGGCUUAACCUUACAACGCCGAAG